GAUGAACGCUAGCUACAGGCUUAACACAUGCAAGUCGAAGGGAAACGAUAUUGGAAGCUUGCUUCCGAUAGGCGUCGACCGGCGCACGGGUGAGUAACGCGUAUCCAACCUGCCCACCACUUGGGGAUAACCUUGCGAAAGUAAGACUAAUACCCAAUGAUAUCUCAAGAAGACAUCUGAAUGAGAUUAAAGAUUUAUCGGUGAUGGAUGGGGAUGCGUCUGAUUAGCUUGUUGGCGGGGUAACGGCCCACCAAGGCGACGAUCAGUAGGGGUUCUGGGAGGAAGGUCCCCCACAUUGGAACUGAGACACGGUCCAAACUCCUACGGGAGGCAGCAGUGAGGAAUAUUGGUCAAUGGGCGAGAGCCUGAACCAGCCAAGUAGCGUGCAGGAUGACGGCCCUAUGGGUUGUAAACUGCUUUUAUAAGGGAAUAAAGUGAGCCUCGUGAGGCUUUUUGCAUGUACCUUAUGAAUAAGGACCGGCUAAUUCCGUGCCAGCCGCCGCAGUAA
rnacentral:rRNA from 1 species